rnacentral:misc_RNA from 1 species
CGCGGCACACAUUCCAUGAGACUUUAUUACAGGGUGUGUGUAAAGACGUAGAGCCACAGAAGGAAGACAGAGUCUCCCAGACCAUAGAACUACAAAGGGUGCACAGGUGUGAGUGGAUGUGUAAACAGAGCGUGCACAUGCCCCCGUUUGAGGACCAGCAACAACUCGUGUUGACAGUUCAGUAAUGAUCCUUCCGCAGGUUCACCUACGGAAACCUUGUUACGACUUUUACUUCCUCUAAUGACCAAGA